rnacentral:RNase_P_RNA from 1 species
CGGCUGCAGAUUCCGAAAGGAUGCAGGUGAGGAAAGUCCGGGCUUCACAGGGCAGGAUGCCGGAUAACGUCCGGUGGGGGUGACCCUAAGGAAAGUGCAACAGAAAUAUACCGCCGGUUUUUACCGGUAAGGGUGGAAAGGCGUGUGUAAGAGACCACCGUUGUUCUGGUAACAGAGCAAGCCAUGUAAACCCCAUCCGAAGCAAGACCGCAUAAAAGGCCAUACGGCGGCCCGUCGUGCCUUUGGGUAGGUCGCUUGAGUUUGCCGGUAACGGCAAGCCUAGAUAGAUGAUUAUUCUCGACAUAACCCGGCUUAUCGACAGACUUG